UGGGGAUGACGUCAAGUCAGCAUGGCCUUUAUAUCCUGGGCUACACACACGCUACAAUGGGAAGGGACAAUAGGUUGCGAAGCCGCGAGGCGGAGCCAAUCCAGCAAAACUUCCCUCAGUUCAGAUUGCAGGCUGCAACCCGCCUGCAUGAAGUUGGAGUUGCUAGUAAACGCAGGUCAGCCAUACUGCGUUGAAUACGUUCCCGGGGCUU
rnacentral:rRNA from 1 species